UCCAACUUAUCAUUGGCAGUUUUUUUAGAGUUCUUUCUCUACAUUAGAGAGAAUUAGCAACUAAAAAUGAGGGUUGCGCUCGUUAUAGGACUUAACCCAACAUCUCACGACACGAGCUGACGACAGCCAUGCAACACCUGUAUAAUCAUAACAUCCAAAAUUUCUUUCGAAUGAUAAAUUAUAUGUCAAGAGUUGGUAAGGUUCUGCGCGUUGUUUCGAAUUAAACCACAUGCUCCACCGCUUGUGAGGGCCCCCGUCAAUUCCUUUGAGUUUCAACCUUGCGGUCAUACUCCCCAGGCGGAGUGCUUCAUGCGUUAGCUUCAACACUGAACUAUGAAAGUCCAACGUUUAGCACUCAUCGUUUAGGGCAUGGACUAC
rnacentral:misc_RNA from 1 species